rnacentral:rRNA from 1 species
GCUCACGGCCAUAUCAGCCUGGGUACGCCCGAUCUCGUCUGAUCUCGGAAGCUAAGCAGGGUCGGGCCUGGUUAGUACUUGGAUGGGACACCGCCUGGGAAUACCAGGUGCUGUAAGCA